AUGUAUCAUUGUUAAUGAAAAAGAUAAAUUGCGUCAGACCAUUUCAAUCGUUUUAUCUGCAAUCGAGUCUGAUAUUACGUAUAGUGAAGGUUAUCGAGUCAAACACAAAAGCUUAUUUGUAUGGAUCUCUCUGCAUCUUGUAAUAGGCAAAGUUUUGAAAGAGUACUUAAUGGGAAAAUCGGUGAAAGAGAGUAUGAAUCGUAGUUGUAUCGUGCUGGUGAUUUAUUUUGCAGCAUCUUACCCAACCAUUAAAGUAUUCGAGUGUAAAAAAUAGAAUAGUUUUCGGAAGAAAAUGAUUGGCGCCUUGAUCAUAAUAGAGGUAUUUUCUAUGCUUAUCAGGUAUGUUCUGUAUAUCGCAUCAUUUGAAAUCGGUACGAUUUGCCAAAUAUUGAUCGAUUGAUAUAUAAAACCUAUAACAGAAACAUCAGCGAUGUUAUAUCAGCCGUUUCAAUACCAAAUUCUGAGUUUUCUAAUUAAAUAUCUAUAAAAAUAUUUCCAAAAUCGUACCGAUUUCAAAUCGUACGAACUUCCCUGUAUAUGUUAAUGGAACCUAAUUACAUACGUAUAUUUACACACUAGGGUGAUUUAGGUACUCGGAUUUUUCAAACCGGUUUUAUUCUGGUUGUUCAAACAUUUAUGGGCGGUUUCGAUUAUCGAAUAAACCGGCUUUUCAUCUAAAAUAUUUAUACAACAACAUAUCAAAAUUCCCUGCAAAUUCAUUUAUUUAUUUCGGUAUGCGUUCAUUUAAAGUAUCUGCAUAUUUACCAUACGGAUUUUUUUAAGUAAUUUUUCUUAAAAACACAUCUUCUGUGGCACUGUAGCGAAAAGCUAUAAAAAAUGUAUUUACACUCUAGCACAUCUGAUUCCAGAUUUGGUUCACGAAAUGAUUCAAUAAAAAGCAUUAUAUAUAAAUAUUAGAAAUUACAUUUAAAAAGACAAGGUUCAGGUUUUUAGCAACUAAGGAAAAAAUCCGUUGAUCCCAGAACUUUUAAAUAUUUAUUGGAUCUAAUGUUUAAUUUCAAUAGUUUUAUUCCAUUUUUGGCUUUCAAUUUUUGACUAACUGUAA